AAGUUGCUUGUUCUUUUGUACGUAUCUGUGUUGGAUUAUCAAUGCAUGAUCUAAUUAUCAUUUUCUUCAUAUCGAUAUCCUAUUAAUUACUACUACAUCAAGGAUCUUCAUGUUGUUCGUUUUCUUACAAAUCCACUCAUUGGUAAUGAUGGUUUAAUUUCUUUGAUAUUUUCUUCAGUUUAGGGACAGCAGCAGUUUUACCACCGAUGGUGUUGCAUGUAAGCUGGAUGUUCUCAUUGUUCUGUUGGCUCUGAUAGGGUGAGUUCUUCCCUAUUUCCUUUUUUGAUGCCUCCGUAUGCUCAACCUAUUAUGGUUUUAGUUGUAGUGUGAAUGUUUUAUAGUUUAUAUUUUUUGUGUGUUCUCUGGCAGUGUGUAUGCUAUGAAGUUAAGGUUCUUAAGAUUAAUGAUGUUUAUAGAAGGUAGAUACAGUUUUAUCAUUCAUUCAUGAUCAUAUUUGGCCUCUCUUAGUGGCCAGUCUAUGGUAAAUCUAAUAGUUGCUCUUGAUAGUGAUGCAGGAUGUGAGGUACAACUAUCAAAGUGACAUUAAUUUUGGUUCUGAUUCCUAUCCGCAGCCUCUUCUACACUAGAGAAGGAAAACACUCGACGAUCUGGCUCUGUCUCAGGUAUAUGCUCCCUCGCCCGCAAGAUCCGCUCUCUCCCAUCUACGCAUCGCAACAGCACUUCAGCUCCUCUUGUGGAUUCUCACCAGAUCAGGCCACCUCACUCACCUUCAGGUUUGUAAACAGUCAUCCAUACCAUAGGGUCCAUCGGUGAAACAAAGCCAAUCAUAUGAAUUGAAGGAGCUACUGAAAUAAAGUGGAAAGAACAAAGAGAAAAUUGAAGAUUAUCUAUAUGAACAUUCUGAGAAUGGGAUAGGAGAGGUGGUUCUUCCCAACAGGAAAAAGAGUGGAGCGUCUGUCGUGAUGGACAAAGUUAAGAUCCCAACAAAAAGUGCUUCUUGAUGCUAUGAUGCAGCAACUUAACCUUCCAAAUUACAGUUUACUAAACAGACCUCGCCGGCAGAUCCCUCAGCUAUCAGGGAAGGCAGCCAUCAGCGGAGAUUGAGGGCGCCUCUCCGGCGAGAGUGCUCAUGUCGUGGUGGUUUUCCACCAGCAGCGUGGGGGAGGCGGUGUCCUCUGCAGCUAGGUCUACUUACUGGCGACCUCACCAUCACCAGCCCACCUGCAGAGCAUUUGUAAAGGGCAGUUGAUCUUCUCAUUGGUUUCAUUGGCGUUGUAUGCAAGGUCUCAAAAGGUCUGCUGUUCCUGGAUGAUAGCUGCAUAUGAGGAUGUACGAAGGAUUUGGCUGCGAACUCAAUCAGACCAUUGGAUUGAAGCUGAAGGGGGCAUUGCAAAGAUACGAAGGAAUGGCCUUUCGUUCAUAACCUGGUCAGCUACACAACAUCUGGUCGUACAUGUUUCUGUUGUAGCGGCCCAGUUACGUGGAGAAGAAUGGCAUACGCUGAGGAUUGUGUCAGCUGAUUUUCUAACUCAUGUUUAGCUCAUGGAUUCUCAUUUAUCUCUUCAAUUUACACAAGGAGGUGCAUUAUCAGCUCUUAUGUAUUUUCUUAAUAACCGUUGAUAGGAAUGACAACUAUGUUGAGAUGUGGUAGACCAUUGAAUGACUUUUGGUCCAGAAUGAAAAAUAGAGGCAUAAUUAUUGUAAUUUUGUUGCUGCUAAUUUCUUUCAAACGAA